GCGUUUGUGGUAUAGGGUAGAGUGCCUCGUUGCAAUCGAGGCGACUCGGGUUCAAUUCCCGGCAGACUGA
rnacentral:tRNA from 1 species